rnacentral:rRNA from 1 species
UACGUAGGGGGCGAGCGUUGUCCGGAUUUAUUGGGCGUAAAGAGCGUGUAGGCGGCCAGGUAGGUCUGCUGUGAAAACUCGAGGCUCAACCUCGAGACGUCGGCGGAAACCAUCUGGCUAGAGUCCGGAAGAGGAGAGUGGAAUUCCUGGUGUAGCGGUGAAAUGCGCAGAUAUCAGGAAGAACACCCGUGGCGAAGGCGGCUCUCUGGGACGGUACUGACGCUGAGACGCGAAAGCCAGGGGAGCAAACGGG